rnacentral:rRNA from 1 species
CUAUACAUGACUCUGCGCAUAUCAAUAAGCGGAGGAAAAGAAACUAACAAGGAUUCCCCUAGUAACGGCGAGUGAAGCGGGAAGAGCUCAAAUUUGAAAUCUUAAAGGGUUUCCCUUUACGAAUUGUAGUUUAAAGAAGUGUUUUCUGUUGAGGUUUUGGUAAAAGUUCUUUGGAAUAGGACAUCAUAGAGGGUGAGAAUCCCGUAUUUGACCUUUACUUUCAACUUUGUGAUACACUUUCAAAGAGUCGGAUUGUUUGGGAAUGCAGUCCAAAAUGGGUGGUAAAUUUCAUCUAAAGCUAAAUAUUGGCGAGAGACCGAUAGCGAACAAGUACCGUGAGGGAAAGAUGAAAAGAACUUUGAAAAGAGAGUUAAACAGUACGUGAAAUUGUCAAAAGGGAAGCGUUUGACACCAGUGUUGUUUUUCUGAAAAUCAAUUAAAGAACUGUUUAUGCUAAGUUGUUUAGACUUUAUCAGCUAACUGUUUAGUUUUGAGCUUUUCUUUAAUGCACUUUUCAGUUAACAAGUCAACAUCAAUUUCUUUUGCUGUAAAAAAGCUUGAGGAAGGUGGCUUGAGAUUCGUCUUAAGUGUUUAUAGCCUCUUGCCUAUGCAGUCGGAGAGAUUGAGGUCUGCAGCGUAGAUCCUUCGGGGCUAAAUGCAUUUGUGCUAAGUUAUAGCAUUUAUAGACAACUUGUUGACUAUGAUUUGUCUUGUAGCUUACUCGCUUAUGUUAUUUUACCUACGCUUAGGAUGUUGACAGCAGUAUAGACUGU